rnacentral:rRNA from 1 species
AUUGAACGCUGGCGGCAGGCUUAACACAUGCAAGUCGAACGGUAGCACAAGGGAGCUUGCUCCCUGGGUGACGAGUGGCGGACGGGUGAGUAAUGCUUGGGAAUCUGGCUCAUGGAGGGGGAUAACUACGGGAAACUGUAGCUAAUACCGCGUAAUAUCUUCGGAUUAAAGUGUGGGACCGCAAGGCCACAUGCCAUGAGAUGAGCCCAAGUGGGAUUAGGUAGUUGGUGGGGUAAAGGCCUACCAAGCCGACGAUCUCUAGCUGGUCUGAGAGGAUGACCAGCCACACUGGAACUGAGACACGGUCCAGACUCCUACGGGAGGCAGCAGUGGGGAAUAUUGCACAAUGGGGGGAACCCUGAUGCAGCCAUGCCGCGUGAAUGAAGAAGGCCUUCGGGUUGUAAAGUUCUUUCGGUAGCGAGGAAGGUGGUAAUGUUAAUAGCAUUAUCAAUUGACGUUAACUACAGAAGAAGCACCGGCUAACUCCGUGCCAGCAGCCGCGGUAAUACGGAGGGUGCGAGCGUUAAUCGGAAUAACUGGGCGUAAAGGGCACGCAGGCGGUUGAUUAAGUGAGAUGUGAAAGCCCCGGGCUUAACCUGGGAAUUGCAUUUCAUACUGGUCAACUAGAGUACUUUAGGGAGGGGUAGAAUUCCACGUGUAGCGGUGAAAUGCGUAGAGAUGUGGAGGAAUACCGAAGGCGAAGGCAGCCCCUUGGGAAUGUACUGACGCUCAUGUGCGAAAGCGUGGGGAGCAAACAGG